rnacentral:tRNA from 1 species
GGAGACGUGCCAGAGCGGCCGAAUGGGCUUCACUGCUAAUGAAGUGACGUGUAAAAGCGUCCCGGGGUUCAAAUCCCCGCGUCUCCG